rnacentral:lncRNA from 1 species
GUUAGUGUAUAUAAAUAAAUGGAAUACAGACGUGUGGAUGGAAAUUCUAGGAUGAUUUGCACAGUAUAAUAGAAGGGAAAGGUGUGUUUCCUGGAUGGUUUUGUGAAUCAAUUUUUUCGGCAUCUGUCCUGUGUUUCUCAAUGGAGUUUUGUCCAGACUGCAGAUAACAAAACGAAGAUUCUAAUGUGAUUUAAAUGGAUUCAAAUGGUUGACAUUUGCUUAUCCUGUGAGCUCUUGAAUGCCAAACAGUUUUUUUGGGGUGAACUACUUACAGUUACAAUCUAAGAAAACUAUAUUACAUCUAUAAAAAAGAAACUAUUCUGCAUUUAGAUAAUUUCUGUAAAUUUGUCUUCUUUUGUUAAUAUUUAAAAUUAAAAUAUAUGCAGAAAUUGGAUGGUUAAUAUAAAUUAAAAAAAAUAUUUAAUGAUCAAGAACAAAUACUUUAAAGCCAAUUCGUAAAAAACAACCUUCAAUAAAAAAAAAUACUAAAAAACAACCUAAAAUAUCUCUAAAUACUCUUAUUUGAUCAUUAUAUUUACACAAUUAAAAAACUCUUAACAUCAUAUAAAUAAUUCAGUAAUGUUAUGACUCUUUUAGACAAUUUUUAUAUAUUUAACAUAUAAUAUUCUAUAUCACUUUUGAAUUAUACUAAAUUUUUAAUUAAUACAAUUGCCAUUCGAAUCCAUAAAUCCGAACAUUACGACACUUUAUGUAGCACUAUCCCUUAUGCUAAAGAACUAUAAACAUAUCCAUAUCUGUGUUCCAUUAUGUCUUUGGCCAUUUUAUUCAUGCAACUUAAGAAACUAAUGAAAGAAUCGCACAUACAAAUGGGUAGACAACUCUUUAAAACUUAAAUAAGUUUCAUUUAUGGAUGGAGAGUGAUUUCGUAAUUUAGAAUUGUUUCUAAGAGAGCUAUUCUAUCCCUCUACAAAGUGAUCCUUCCGCCCUUUUACAGUCUUUUCCUAUUUUACCCUUCUUCCUAUAGCAAACUUUUGAGUAGUUUUCUUGAAGUAACAUACAGCAAUCAUCAGUACAACGAAAAUAAUCUAUCCGAUUUUGGACGUCACUUAAAGAGCAGACCCAAGAAAGAAACACACCAAGAUCAAACCAAUUGGCUCUCUGUCCAUAUUGGGUCACAAGUCUGCCCAGAAUUACAAACCAACCCCACAAAAGUUCUGUUAAUGCCUACUCACUUCACUCAAGACAUUGAUGGCAAAGACUUUCAAGUGCUGCCAGAAGCACCUUUUCACCUACCGAAAAGGAAAAAAAACCCUAUGCGCAGUAACUACUUGCAAAGGGCAAAAAAACUCAAAAUCAAAAGAAUAGCAUUCUAUUUUUCAAUUUUAAUGCACAAUUCAAAUAUUUUUUAAUAUUUUUAUACACAUUCAAAAAAUUUACAACUCUUUUAUGCACAGUUGAGGAUUUGUAUCUUUAGCAAAUAUUUUUUAAAAUGAGUUUCAUUUAGUUUGAAUUUUUCAGUUAAAAAUUAUUCAAAUUCUUCAUCAGCCCAAACCAUGACCAGAAUAAACUCCAACUACAAUAGUCCUAUUGUCCAAUCUAAUAUGCAUCUAAAAUUAGAUUUAAAUAAUUGAUGAGACUGGAUUGAAGUAUAAUCAACCUGAACCUAUUCAUUUUUUAUCUUAUCGUUUUAGAAUUUACAAUUUUUAAUAUCCCAAUUUACAUUAGAUCAGCAAUCAGUUUGUGUCAAAUUUAAUCUACCCUUUAUGUUCAUAACUAACAAUUUAAAUAUAUAACAAAAUGAAUUAAUAAAAGAUAUGUAGAAUUGAUAAUUUCUUUUAAGGUAAGCAUAUUGAAAACUAUGAAAUUUUUUAAUUCAUAAUCAAAUUAAAUGUAUGCUUUCACAUUGAGCUUGGAGAUUAAAACAUAAUUUAUGCUCCUACUUUCAUGACGAAAGAAGCUUAUCUAACAUUACUUCAAUCAAACAGAGACAAUUUUGAAAACCACUAAGCAUCUCUCAACAAUUGGAUAUUUGGAUACAUUGUUUUGGUCUGCUGCAAUAUGACUUCAUCACACUCAUAAAUCAUGACGAGACAAACAGGAAAAGCAAACAUGAGGUGGGGAUAUGUUUAGUUCCAUUUCAAAAAAAAUAAUUUUUUAAGGUUAACGACACUCUUACCAAAAUUUAAUUUAAAUUAAGAUUAUAAAUGAUCUGAAACUGCCUCGGCCAACAAGAUAGAAACUCAAAUGAUUAUUCAAAAAGGGAGAGAGCGAUAGCGAGAGCAAGAUCGAGAGAGAGAGAGAGAGAGAGAGGGAGAAGAGGAGAGAGGAGAGAGGAGAGAGGGAGAUAGUGAGAGAGAAGAGAGGUUGGGAGAGAGAGAGAGAGAGAGAGGUCCUAACAUGGAUGGACCGGUCAAAGUCCACCUAAACCACCAUGUAUCAAGAAAUAAACCAACACUUCCAGAAUCCAGACAGAUAAUUUUAUCUGAAAUUUAAAAUUAAAACACCAAAUAAUACAUAAACAAAAACAUGCAUGUCAGAGAGGGAGUCUAGAACAUGAAAAUAUGAUACGUUCAAGGAUAAGAUCAAAACAGGAUUAAACAUCAUUGUGCCAUCUUCCUAAAUGCGGGCUGACAAAAUUGGCAUUACCUGGAAUAAUUCCAGUGGGAAUCUCGGUAAUGACUUUUGCAUUAUCACCCUAUCAGAGGCACCAUUGCUAACUCUUAAAUGUCAGAUUAUCCUGUUCCAGUUCAGCUACAGAUACUAAUGACUUCACCAGACAUGGAGAACAUGGACAGAACGAGGAAAAGAAAUAUGAAACCUAAACUCGUAACUAUUUACUCGAGGAGUUAACUUAUCCUUGUCCUCUCUAAUUAAAAGACCUAAACGGAUAUGGUUGAAAAAAAAUGAGUAAUACAUAGCUUUUAGAUGAUGCUUUAAACUGUCCCACCAAAAACAUUAUUCAGAAUCAUGCAAGCAAAUAACAGAGAAUGUUAAUGAAAUCCCCAACUAGUCAAACAAAGCAUGGAGAAUAAAGAAUAUAAGACCUUGAUGAUUAAAGACAAGAUGUACAGGCAGCAUCCACAACUUCCCAUGAAGCUGACCUUGGCAUCCAAAAUUGUGCGACCCAACACAUGUUAAAUCAUCUAAAAUCAUCACCAAAAAUGUAGAAAUGAAUCAACUACACAGAACUCAACAACCGAAUCAGAAAAGAUAUUAAACAAUUAUAUCUUUUGAAGAACCGAACCAUCACAACAAAAACAAAACUCUACAUUGACAAAGAUCCCCCAACUUGUACAGCCAAUUUGAAUUUAGCAUUCAAACAAAAUUGUCAACAUACGCUACAUAUACUUUGAACACUUACGUACAUCUCUUUUCAUUUAUGUUUUGACAAGGAAGGCAAUAGGCAGGCUAAAUUUUGCCAAACUUAACAAGUAAAACCACAUAUUAUUGAUAAUUGCCACAAGUUAUAACGGGUAAGAGAAGAAAGCCCAAUAUCCUGANNNN